GAUCCCCCCACCCCUCCCAGGCGGGACCGAGGCGCACGAGCGCGGGCUGGGUGCCCUGCCGGAGGUGGGUGCUCCAGGCGGUGGGAAAGAAAGACAGCGCUCACCCGGGCCCGGGCCGCGUUCCCGGGUCGUCUGCAGGAACCCAGGGCAUUGAGGAACAUACAAGAAGAAAGGGACCAGAGCAUCACUUCUCCCAGAGGAGCCUGAUUCGACAACGACCCUGCCUGGAGUUCAGAAGGCGGUCUUUGGUGGGAUUUCGGUAUCCUGAGCUUCGGGCCUCCUAAACCCAUUUGACCUCAUCAUCUCCUUGUGUGAUGGCUCCUUUUCUCAACCAAGACCCCUCAGCGAGGCUUUUUCCCACCAACCUGUCUGAGGAGCCUGUGAGGGAUUUGCCUUUGCCAAGGCUGAUUUUUCUGAAGGAGAUAAAUAGUUGCAGAAAAGAGAAUAUUUAUCUUGAUGGAGGUUCACAGGAAUAUGGUGACUUGACCUGCAUGGACAGCUGCAAGAACAAAGCAUUCCUACACCAAGAAGUCUGCAACAACCAACCACUCCUCUCUCUCACUUUGCCUUUAAAAAUGCUUUGCUGAAAUCUUUGGGGGAGUUUGGGUUUGGGGGCUCAUUUAUUCUCUUUGUGUGGCCCUUCAAUAACACUUUCUCUGCUCCAAACUUUGUUUCAGUAUUGUUUGAUCACACUGUGCAGGGUACACGAUCUUGUACUAGGUAACAGAAGUAGGGCUUAGAAGUACCCUGAUUGUGAGGUGUUGCCAAAACACUGACAGCAAGGAGGAAGGCAAGUUGGAGCCCCUUAAACCUGUGUCACUCAGCCUAGUGGUCUCCCACAACCUGAAGCGGGCUGAGUAGGAAUAGUGGGGCAGACAGGAAAGAUAUGGGGUUACUUGGGUGCUAUGAGCUGCUUCAUUCUGCUGUCUCCUGGCAUCCUGAGAUGCUGCUUAUAUAAACGUUUGGCCAAGAAUAGAGAGAUAGAGAUAGAGAGAGAGAGAGAGAGAGCACGAGCGAGCGAG
rnacentral:lncRNA from 1 species